GACGAACGCUGGCGGCGUGCUUAACACAUGCAAGUCGAACGGUAAGGCCCUUCGGGGUACACGAGUGGCGAACGGGUGAGUAACACGUGGGUGAUCUGCCCUGCACUUCGGGAUAAGCCUGGGAAACUGGGUCUAAUACCGGAUAGGACCACUGCCUACAUGGGUGGUGGUGGAAAGCUUUUGCGGUGUGGGAUGGGCCCGCGGCCUAUCAGCUUGUUGGUGGGGUGAUGGCCUACCAAGGCGACGACGGGUAGCCGGCCUGAGAGGGUGACCGGCCACACUGGGACUGAGAUACGGCCCGGACUCAUACGGGAGGCAGCAGUGGGGAAUAUUGUACAAUGGGCGCAAGCCUGAUGCAGCGACGCCGCGUGAGGGAUGACGGCCUUCGGGUUGUAAACCUCUUUCAGCACCGACGAAGCGCAAGUGACGGUAGGUGCAGAAGAAGGACCGGCCAACUACGUGCCAGCCGCCGCGGUAA
rnacentral:rRNA from 1 species